rnacentral:rRNA from 1 species
GGAAUCUUCCACAAUGGACGCAAGUCUGAUGGAGCAACGCCGCGUGAGUGAAGAAGGUCUUCGGAUCGUAAAACUCUGUUGUUAGAGAAGAACACGAGUGAGAGUAACUGUUCAUUCGAUGACGGUAUCUAACCAGCAAGUCACGGCUAACUACGUGCAG